rnacentral:rRNA from 1 species
CUCAAAUGAAUUGACGGGGGCCCGCACAAGCGGUGGAGCAUGUGGUUUAAUUNGAUGCAACGCGAAGAACCUUACCUACUCUUGACAUCCAGAGAAUCUAGCGGAGACGCUGGAGUGCCUUCGGGAGCUCUGAGACAGGUGCUGCAUGGCUGUCGUCAGCUCGUGUUGUGAAAUGUUGGGUUAAGUCCCGCAACGAGCGCAACCCUUAUCCUUGUUUGCCAGCACGUAAUGGUGGGAACUCCAGGGAGACUGCCGGUGAUAAACCGGAGGAAGNGGGGACGACGUCAAGUCAUCAUGGCCCUUACGAGUAGGGCUACACACGUGCUACAAUGGCGUAUACAGAGGGCAGCGAUACCGCGAGGUGGAGCGAAUCUCACAAAGUACGUCGUAGUCCGGAUUGGAGUCUGCAACUCGACUCCAUGAAGUCGGAAUCGCUAGUAAUCGCAAAUCAGAAUGUUGCGGUGAAUACGUUCCCGGGCCUUGUACACACCGCCCGUCACACCAUGGGAGUGGGCUGCAAAAGAAGCAGG